AAUAAACGCAGCCAUGAGUUUCCAUGUCCAAUUUUGAUCAUCCGUUUUAUUUAAAAUGUUUCAUGAUUAAUAUUUUUUUUAUUAUUAGAUUAUAAAAUAUGAAUAGUACUUUAUGCGAGACUUAUUUUUUAAAAAAAAAUAAAUAAGACGGACGAUUAAAGUUGGACACGGAAACUCAUGGCUACACUUAUU
rfam:Oryza glaberrima chromosome 11 Oglab11_0313_4, whole genome shotgun sequence.